UCCGGUAUGGUGUAUCGGCUAGCAUCGCCCGCUUUCACUGCAAAGCACAGAUCCGGGCAGAGCCGGGUUCGAUUCCCGGUACCGGAA